rnacentral:lncRNA from 1 species
CAACACCCCCAGUGCAGCAACAGCUGGCAAUGCAACACCCCCACUGCAGCAACACCUGGCAAUGCAACACCCCCACUGGAGCAACACCUGGCAAUGCAACACCCCCACUGCAGCAACACCUGGCGCUGCAACACUUGGAAAUGCAACAACCUCAGUGCAGCAACAGAUGGAACAGGAACACCCGCACUGCAGCAACAACUGGUGCUGCAACAGCUGGCAAUGCAACACCCUCACUGCAGCAACACCUGGCAAUGCAACACCUGGAAAUUCAACACCUGGAAAUGCAACACCCCCAGUGCUGCAACACCGGGUGCUGCAACAGCUGGAACUGUGACAACCCCGCUGCAGCAACAGGUGGACCAGGAACACCCGCACUGCAGCAACACCUGGUGCUGCAACACCUGGCAAUGCAACACCCCCACUGCAGCAACAGCUGGCAAUGCAACACCCCCACUGCAGCAACACCUGGCAAUGCAACACCCCCAGUGCAGCAACACCGGGUGCUGCAACAGCUGGAAGUGUGACAGCCCUGCUGCUGCAACAGGUGGAGCAGGAACACCCGCACUGCAGCAACACCUGGUGCUGCAACAGCUGGAAAUGCAACACCCCCACUGCAGCAACACCUGGCAAUGCAACACCCCCAGUGCAGCAACACCUGGCAAUGCAACACUUGGAAAUGCAACAACCUCAGUGCAGCAACAGAUGGAACAGGAACACCCGCACUGCAGCAACACCUGGUGCUGCAACACCUGGCAAUGCAACACCCCCAGUGCAGCAACACCCGGCAAUGCAACACCCCCCCGUGCAGCAACACCUGGCAAUGCAACACCCCCACUGCAGCAACACUUCUGCAACAGCCACACCUGGCAUCGCAACACCGGGUGCUGCAACAGUUGGAACAGUGACAGCCCCACUGCUGCAACAGGUGGAACAAGAACACCCGCACUGCAGCAACACCUGGUGCUGCAACACCUGGCAAUGCAACACCCCCACUGCAGCAACACCUGGCAAUGCAACACUUGGAAAUGCAACAACCUCGCUGCAGCAACAGAUGGAACAGGAACACCCGCACUGCAGCAACACCUGAUGCUGCAACAGCUGGAAAUGCAACACCCCCACUGCAGCAACACCUCUGCAACACCUGCACCUGGCACGGCAACACCCCAACUGCAGCAACACCGGGUGCUGCAACAGCUGGAAGCGUGACAGCCCCACUGCGGCAACAGGUGGUGCAGGAACACCCGCACUGCAGCAACACCUGGCAAUG